AUCAGGGAUCCAGCGAAUGGAGCAGCAACAGAAACAGAAGAUUUCUGGAGUUCUGGAACAGUCACACAACAUUCAGUCUAAGAUUACAUCCCAGUAUGCUGAACUGCACCAGAUUCUCACUGAGAAAGAGCAGCACACACUGGCAGAUAUCCGGGAGGAAGAGAGGAAGAUUCUAAAUACAAUGGAGA